GAAUUUUGGUCAAUGGGCGAAAGCCUGAUCCAGCAAUGCCGCGUGCAGGAUGAAGGCCUUCGGGUUGUAAACUUCCUUUUUUCGGAACGUAAAGCUUUGGGUUAAUACCCUGGAGUCAUGACGGUACCGUUAGAAUAAGUACCGCCUAACUACGUGCCCCCAGCCGCGGCAAAACGUCGGGUGCAAGCGUUAAUUGGAAUUACUGGGCGUAAAGCGUGCGCAGGCGGUUUUGUAAGACAGAGGUGAAAUCCCCGGGCUCAACCUGGGAACUGCCUUUGUGACUGCAGGGCUAGAGUACGGCAGAGGGGGGUGGAAUUCCGCGUGUAGCAGUGAAAUGCGUAGAUAUGCGGAGGAACACCGAUGGCGAAGGCAACCCCCUGGGCCUGUACUGACGCUCAUGCACGAAAGCGUGGGGAGCAAACA
rnacentral:rRNA from 1 species